rnacentral:lncRNA from 1 species
AUGACUUCCCUGUUUUUCUGUCUCUCAGGGGCCACAGCUUCCCUAGGUGGAAGUGCAACGACAAGAGGUAGAAUAACCACCGCUACCACUGGGGCAUUCUCUGGAAAGACUCUGGAGCCUGGGAACGACAACACAGGCAAGUUCAAAGCCACACAGGGAAUGCUACACCAUGGCUGCUUGGGUGACAGGCUCGUAGGGUUACAUAACCCUGUACUUCCCAUACUGUAGAUGUCAUCCCUGCUUUCUUUUCUCUCAGAGGCCACAAGUUCCACCAGAGGGGUCAGGACCACCAGAUCAGAAGCUCCAGGAAGUAAGCUUCAUCAGUCCCUGCCUUCAGAGUUCUCAUCAUUGCCGUUUUGUGCUCAGGAUAACACAUACAUGAGAAACAGGGCCAAGGAAGGGGCUUAAUUCUUGUCUGGAAGGUCAACAUGUAUUCUGGCCAACCUGAGUAGUUCUGCUAAGGAGUUUCAGACACUGGGUUAUCUAAGUCAGGCAUUGUCCCAUGGCCUGUGUGACAGUGUUAGUUCUCUGAACACCUGUCUGAGGCCCACUGACCUGCAGCAGCCUCCCCAGAACCCUGAUUCUCCCUGCUCUGCUCAUCACCACUCUGCAUAGCACUAUCACCUGCUGCCAUCUCUCGAACAUAUUUAUUACACUUCUUGUUUAUUUCAUGUUUUCCCUCUCCCAUAAACGUAAAUCACAUGAGGCAGAGACGUUUGUCUAUUCUUUUCUCUGAGAAGAGGAUGUCAGGCACAGAGAAAAUGCUUCCAUAAUGUGAGAUGGGUGACUGGUAUAUUCUUAUGCAGAGUGUCACUAUGUUUAAUUUAGCAGCUACCACCACAGUUUCACUUGGUGUCAGCAGCAGUUCACAGGGUCUGAAGCAAGGUAGGAUGAACUACUUAAAAUCAGCAGGGGAGGGUAUAAAUAUCUCAUAGUAGGGCAUUGCUCAGCAUCUGAUAAGCACAAUAUCGCCAGUUACCAAUAUGAGAACAUUUAGAAUGUUCAAGUCUUUUUCUCUUUCCUGGGAGCACAAGGAAAGCACAAUAUUUGAAGUAAAAUCAAGAAAGUGAAGUUAAGCUUCCUUUUUCAGUAGAGUACAGGGGAAGGGAUAGUCAGUAUAAAAACGUUAGUAAGUUGGCAAAAAAUUAUUCGUGGUUCAUAUUUUCUGAAACAAGUUUUCAAGAAAGGUCUUUCAGUGUUUCAGGACCACAUUGCUGAUUCCAGUACUGCUUGCUCUAUUAGCUCCUUUACUUUCUCAUUUUAGGGACUUCUGGUAAAUUCUCUGGGACAACCAUUUCAUCAAGAGGUUCCAACACAGGUAGUUCAAUAAGAAAGAUAUCAUCAUCUUGCAUGGGUGAUAACUUUGUAGAAAUUCAGUAAUAAAAUAGCAACUCAGUACUUUUUACCAGCAUCUCAAAUUUCCUAGACCUCUUGAUUCUUCUCUUUCUUUCUUCAGAGGCCACAACUCUCACAGGAGACAGGAGCAGUACCAGAAGUGAAUCCAAAACAGGUGAGGAUGGCAGCUCAUGAUUUGGGCGUUACCAAGAAUCAUGAUUUUCAGGAUGACUUGUUUGGAAGUAGGCUUUCCUACAGAAUAUGAAGUAAUUUAU